GAUCCUGGCUCAGGAUGAACGCUGGCGGCGUGCUUAACACAUGCAAGUCGAACGGAGUUUUAACGGAAGUUUCGGAUGGAAGUUUAAGAACUUAGUGGCGGACGGGUGAGUAACGCGUGGGUAACCUGCCUCAUACAGGGGGAUAACAGUUAGAAAUGACUGCUAACACCGCAUAAUAUAGUGAAACCGCAUGAUUUUGCUAUCAAAUAUUUAUAGGUAUGAGAUGGGCCCGCGUCUGAUUAGCUAGUUGGUGGGGUAAAAGCCUACCAAGGCGACGAUCAGUAGCCGGCUUGAGAGAGUGACCGGCCACAUUGGGACUGAGACACGGCCCAAACUCCUACGGGAGGCAGCAGUGGGGAAUAUUGGACAAUGGGGGAAACCCUGAUCCAGCGACGCCCGCGUGAGUGAAGAAGUAUUUCGGUAUGUAAAGCUCUAUCAGCAGGGAAGAUAAUGACAGUACCUGACUAAGAAGCCCCGGCUGACUACGUGCCAGCAGCGGC
rnacentral:rRNA from 1 species